rnacentral:rRNA from 1 species
UACAGAGGUCUCAAGCGUUGUUCGGAUUCAUUGGGCGUAAAGGGCGCGUAGGCGGCUUGAUGUGUCAAAGGUGAAAUCCCUCGGCUCAACUGAGGAACUGCCUUUGAAACUGUCUGGCUUGAGGCCGGGAGAGGGUAGCGGAAUUCCCAGUGUAGCGGUGAAAUGCGUAGAUACUGGGAGGAACACCGGUGGCGAAGGCGGCUACCUGGACCGGUUCUGACGCUGAUGCGCGAAAGCGUGGGUAGCAAACAGG